rnacentral:tRNA from 1 species
GUCAGUAUGGCAUAAUAGAUAGAGUGCCGGGUUUAGAACCAGAAAGAUAUGGGUUCAAAUCCCACUUCUCAUA